AAUGCAUAUGACACAAAAGUUGUGGGGAUCCAACAUAGAGAAAAUGUCAAAACUGACCUUAUGUCUAUAAAAAAGAGACGACGACAAAACCAGUGAUAAUAAGUUAUAAGCUAAAUGAAAUAAAAGGUAAUUAGGAGAAAAUCAAUUGAUCUCUCUCUCUCUUUUUUUCCUCUAUUAUUUUUCAGAAAGAGGAAAUUGCGUUAUUUCUCAUGCUUGAUCAAUCUAGUGAGGUUUUCACCCAGUAUAUCAGGUUUGUCUUCGGUAAUGUCUUGUCUUGUCUGGUUUUGUUUUUUUUUUUUUUUUUUUUUUUUAGUCUCUCUCAAUCAACCUCGCUUCUCUUUUAGAAAGGUUUCAAUCGGAUCAAAGUCUUAGAACGAUUUGUUUCAUCGUGCCCUCUCUGUUAGGGUUCAAUCAUCUUCAAGCUUUUGAUUUGCAUGCAAGGAUUUGAGACUUUCGUUUGUUUUAUUUGUUUGAUUCAAUUGGUUCUGGGUUUGAUGUUCUGAAGUGUUGUUUUUGAUUUCGUCUGUGCUGAAUCAAGCUAUUGUCGAAGCCAGAUUCUCUAUGUCGCGUUUUCCUGUCUCCGGUAUGUUUUCGGUGGAAUACCGAUUAGACCGUCCGGCAACGGCUUACCUUUGGGUGUAGCGUCAACUCUCAACUGCUAAAGGGGUUUGUCUAUAAAAGGAAGCCAACAAGCAAACUCUCACCAUAAAAAGUUGUCUAGUUAACAAAACCAAUACUACUCCUUCGUUUCUGUGUAUUGAUUGUAGACUUUGUAGUUACAGAAUCUUGUUUCGUAAUAUUUUAUUAAUACAAGUCAGUAACUAAAAUAUUAGUUUGCUCCAUUGUCAUUGUGGCCAAUUAUUUAAGUUAACGUCUUUGAAUUGUUUGUAGCCGGCUAAGAAUAAUACUGGAUGAAU